AGCCAAUCAGAGCGAGUGAGAUGUUUGUCUGUGUGAAAAUCAUGUGAUCGCCUCUGUCCGCGGGCGCAAUAUCUCUGCGAAUGAGGGUUAGCUGCUUGCCGAAGCAAACGGAAAAACUGCUACGGACCUGAGGCUGCGAUAGGCAGAGGAUAUUUAUUGAGAAUAAUUUGCAGACCAGGAUCCCAAUGCAAGUUCUCCAUUAAGCGGAGUGAUCAGGAUCUGAGUAUCAUUGACACUUAACAGUGAAAGGAAAGAGGUUUAACCAUUCUAUGCGUGGGAGAAUACUCCUGGUAAGUUUGUAACUUGAAAGCAGGAUAUUCAAAUUUUUGGUUUGAUCACCUCUGGGAUAAGUGUUCAGUUCUAUACCCUGCAGCUGAGAAAGGAGAUAUUGGCCUGAGAGGGGUAGAUUUGUCCAAACAACACCUCGUCUCUUUGAAAGAACUGUCAUAUUUAGUCCCAUUCGCCCACUUCAUGAUUUUAGUCUAUACAUUUUUCAUUCUUGAAUACCUGCAAACUUCCUUUUAAAAUUCCUGAUGGGCACAAAUUCCAGCACCCCUCCAGGUGGAAUCUUCCAUUUCCUGACAACUCCAUUGAUCCUGAAACUGCUGAAGUCUGUGUUGAUUCCUGAGGUUUAUAAAUUAUUGCAUUUAACGUGAAGAUGCUGUUCCCUGAGCUUCCAUUGAGCUGCAUUGAAACAGUAUGGGAGGCUGAGAUCAGAGUGGGUGUGAGCAGACAAUGAAAAUGAAAAGGCUGCACUGUGAGUGCUGCUUGGCUAAAUGAGAGUGCUUUGGAGUUGGGUGAAACAGAAAGUGAAACUGAAAGAUUGAGUGUGAUGCUCAGUCUCAGUUUGGGCAGUUCAGAAAGUCUCUCAGUCCUAAUGGAAACAGCCAAUUGAUAUUUGAUAUCGUAAAGAAUUUUCUUACAGUUUUUAAAGUAUAUAUUAGCUUAAAUAAAGUUAGGGGCUUUAGGUUUAUAAUAGUAAUGUUUGAAAUGAAGGGGGAGGACCUAGCUUAAUUAAAUUCUUUUUAAGGCAGAAACUGGCUUAAUCUGGAGAGAAGUCAUAACAGAAGACAUCACAUCUGUGGUGUGCUCCUCUUGCACAAUAGAACAUAGGCUCUUGAUGUUGUGUCGACCUGUGAAACCACACUGAAGCCCAUUUAACCCACACUAUUCCAUUAUCAUCCAUAUGUUUAUCCAAAGACCACUUAAAUGCCCUUAAACUUGGCGAGUCUACUACUGUUGCAGGCAGGGCAUUGCACGCCCUUAUUACCCUGAGUAAAGAACCUACCUCUGACAUCUGUCCGAUAUCUAUGACCCGUCAAUCUAAAGCUAUAUCCCCUCGUGCUAGCCAGCUCCAUCUGAGGAAAAAGGAUCUCAGUGCCCACCCUAUCUAAUCCUCAUAUCAUCUUGUAUGUCUCUAUUAGGUCACCUCUGAACCUUCUUCUCUCUGACGAAAACAGCCUAAAGUCCCUCAACCUUUCCUCAUAAGACCUUCCCUCGAUACCAGGCAACAUUCUGGUAAAUCUCCUGUGCACCCUUUCCAAUGCUUGCACAUCCUUCGUGCAAUGCGGUGACCAGAACUCCGAGUGCGGCCGCACCAGAGUUUCGUACCGCUGCAAUAUGACCUCAUGGUUCUGAAACGCAAUCCCUCUAUCAAUAAAAACGAACACAUUGUACACCUUCUUAACAACCCUAUCAACUUGUGGACACUUUCAGGGAUCUAUGUACAUGGACACCGAGAUCUCUUUGCUCAUCCACACUAUCAAGAAUCUUACCAUUAGCCCAGUACUCUGUAUUCCUGUUACUCCUUCCAAUGUGAAUCACCUCACAGUUUUCCGCAUUAAACUCUGGGACAUUACCAGUGUCCCUAUUGGCUAUUUGUGCAGGAAGUGUGUCCAUCUGCAGCUACUGGUUAACUGCUUUUCAGAGCUUGAGCUGUGGGUGCAGUCAGUAUGGAGCAUCCAUGGUAACUGAGAAGGUUGUGGUCGCAUUCUCAACAGACUGGUCACGCAGCAGGUGAAGAUUACACAGACAGCAAGAGAAUGGGUGACUAUCAGACAAGUAAAAGGCUCAGAAAGGAAGUGCUAGAGUCAUCUCCCUCAAAUAGAUAUACUGUUUUGGGUACUGUUCGGUUGGGGGGUUGGGGGUGGGGGAGAGAGGUGGGGGAUGUUGGGGUGGCCACUCGGGAAGCAGCAUCAGUCAGGUUCAUGGCACUCGGAGUAACUCCGCUGCAUAGAAGGGGAGGGAAACGAUAAAUAUGACUGUAGAGACAGGGGAUUCAAUAGUAAGGGAUAGAGAGAGACAUGAAUCCAGGAUGGUAUGUUGCCUCCCUGGUGCCAGGAUUAGCAAUGACAUGGAGCAGCUUCAGGACAUUCUGGAGUGGGAGGAUGAACAUCCGAUUGUACCAGUGACAUAGGAAAACCAAGGGAGGAGGACCUGAAAGCUGAAGAUAGGAAGUUAAGAGAUACACUAAAAUACGAGAUCUCAAAUAUAGUAUUGUCAAGCUUACACCCAGUGCCACAUUGUUGUCGGGAGAAGUUUGUGUUGUGUUCAGUUGUACGAGUGACCUUUAUUCAGAGCUCUGUUACCACAUGUGUGGGAGAGGCCAGAGUCCACUCCAAACCUGGCUUUCACAUGAGGCCUAAUUCCCCUCUUAAAUACAGCUCAGAUUGGAAGAGUGGACAAUGACAUUCAGACUUUCCCUGGCUGAUUGUGAUAUUUUUAUUCCAUUCGCUAGAUGUUAUUUACAUGCAAUAUUGUUGUCAUUGUUAGCCACACACCCCAAAUCAAUAUACCCAAUCCAGUAAGCAAACCACUUUCCUAGGAUGGUGACGGCGAGUACGAGGGGGCAUAGCUUUAAAUUGAGGGGUGAAAGAUAUAGGACAGAUGCCAGAGGUAGUUUCUUUACUCAGAGAGUAGUAAGGGAAUGGAACGCUUUGCCUGCAACGCUAGUAGAUUUGCCAACUUUAGGUACAUUUAGGGUGUCAUUGGAUAAGCAUAUGGACGUACAUGGAAUAGUGUAGGUUAGACGGGCUUGAGAUCGGUAUGACAGGUCGGCAAAACAUCAAGGGCCGAAGGGCCUGUACUGUGCUGUAAUGUUCUAUGUCCUAUGUUCAAACAAUCGUGGACAACACUAUGUUCAGUCCUAAACCCUUCUAUAAUCUCCUGAGGUUAGCUCGAAAACUACUUCGUCUGUCUUUGGGACCUUACAAUGCUUUGGCAGUUAUAUUCCUCCUCAGACAUUUGCCAGCUGCACCACAUUUUUUUGCCAAAAACCAAAAUAGUAGCUUAUCACUAAGAACUUUUCCAAAUUCUCUACUAACUGUAGUGUGGAUUGUUAGGAAUUGUGAUAAAGUCUUUUAAACUCAACUCUGAUAUAAAGUAACUACAAUUUUGUAAUACAGUUGACAAAUUGUGGAAAAAUCCCUCUGUCACUUCAGCUUAAAAGAUCAAACAGUGUUUCUGACUUGCUGCUGCAGUUUACAACCCCAACAAUUUGUAUGCUGCAAAUGAUUUUUAAAGUGAAGUUUCAUUUUCUACUCUAAGCGCUUUCCAUUAUUACUUUCUUGUUUUAAUAAAGAGCAUCUAUUCAAACUCCACCGAGGGUGAAAUUCAGUCACUUUAGAACUUUACCAAGCUGUUAAACAGAACUUGUUUAGAUUUCACAAAUAACUAAGGCACUAACCAUAUCUUCACUUUGGAUUUUGUAAUCUAUCUUUGUCACUCUUCCGUUGAUCUUUGGAUGUAAGAAUUUGUUCAAAUUAUCCGUAUCUACAUUUCAAUUGUUUUAUCUCUCUGCAGCCCUGACUUCUCUCUUUAUAAUCUUCCUUUGCCCCUUCCUAUGUUGUUGGUCUUUUAGAGGUUGUGUUUACACCGUUUAUUGCUUUGCCUUCCAUAAUGAUGCAGUGAGCUGCUUUUAUUGCUGACAAACAUUUGCUCAAGGAAUUUAGCUAACCGUUUCACGUUAAUUGGUUGUUUGCAUUUCUGGUUACAAUUACCUAAACAGUUCAGAAUGCUGUAGGAUCAGACUUUUGCUUCUACUUUUCAUUAAGUAACAAACUUGUGAUUGUGGCUGAACCGGGCCUUUAAACACUGCCUCUUGUUAAAAUGCUUAUGUGUUUUGAACUGCCUGUUAACAGAAACCCAAGUAAAUUCCCUAAUGUUCCUUCUCAACAGGACUCUUUUAUAUCCCCACAGGACCUUUCGUGAUCUAAUCCCGUAACAGUGUGAGCUGCUACAAUGCACAUGCUAGUAAAAGCAUAAGAGGACAGAUGAGAUGAGUGCAUGGCUGGAGCUAUAACUUAAAAAGAUUUGGAUUCCUGAGGCAUUGAGACUGUUUGUUUGUUUCUGGGGAAGGUGGGACAUGCACAAGCUUGAACAAUUGUCCUGGGCAGAGCUGGGACAGAUAUUCUUGUUGAUGCUUUUGCUAGUUCCACUGGUGAGGAUUUAAACUCGUAUGACAGGGGAAUGGGAACCAAAGUAUACCUUUAGCAGUAAAAGACUCAAAUCAGCAAAUGGGACGUGAAAUUAGUUCAUGAUGUUGUCGGUGGCUGAAAGAUUAAAAGAAAGAAGGAUUAAUCAAGAUCAAAUCUCUUUUCAUACAUCAGUCCUGUGAUCCCAGGAAUUGGUCUGGUGAACCUUCUUUGCGAUCAUUCAGUAGCCAGACCAUCCUUCCUUUGGAAAGGAGAACAAAGGUGCACACUACUGCAGGUGUGGUCUCACCAAGGCCCUUAUAGAAAGACAUCCCUCCUCCUGUACUCGAAUCCUGUCACAAUGAAGGCCGAAAUAUCAUUUGCAUUCUUCACUACUUGCUGCUGCCUGUUUCCUAAAAGAGAAUAGGAGAGAAACACGGAACUAAAUGGGGUCAGACAGUCGGGUACAAUUGUUGAACACACUGUCCCCAUUGUAUCGGUGCUGGCCAUCAAGCACCUAUUUAAGCUAGGCCCGUUUUCUGGCACUCGGUGUGUAACCUAUAUUAUGGUGCAGUGGAUGAUCAUCUCAACACUUCUUCAAGAUUGCAAUGGUUCCUGCAUCUAUUAACAUUUCAGAUGCUGCCAGAUCUACUGUGUAUCUCCAUCUUUUUCUGUUUUUAUUCCAGAUUUCGGGUAUUUUGCUGUGUAUUCUUAGUCCUUCAGAAGCAUCAGAGGGUAUGGGGAGAAAACAGGAAUUGGAUUCAUUUUCAGAUGUAUAAAAUGCCUGCCCUUCAUGUCUGUCCAAACUCUAUCUCUUUUUGUAGUUUUGGGCAAACGCUGACUGUUUCCUUUCCCUGAAGGACAUUAAAUGAACCAGUUCAGUUUUACUGAUAAUCCAGCAGUGCCCCUCAGUGUUGCAUCCACAAUUGACCAGAUUAAUUUCUGAGUUUCACAAUCUUUGUGUGUGUUCUUCUGGUUUCUCUCUCUCUCUCUCUCUCUCUCUCUCUCUCUCUCUCUCUACGUUUCUUUUUUUUCUUCAGUUUGAAAUUUUGAUUGCAUUCAGAGAAAUCAAACAAAACCACAUCCAGAUCUGACACUCAAUCUGUUUGUCAUAACCUAAUUAUCUCAGGAUUUUGAACAUUAAAGGAAGAAGCACUGUUCACACCAGGGAGAAAUGCGUAUUGUCUGUGUGUCGAAGAGUCUUUGAAGAUUCAUCUGAAAUGCCCAAACACCAGCGCAGUCACACUUGGGAGAGACUGUGGAAAUGUGGGGAUUGUGGGAAGGGAUUUAUUUACCCAUCCCAGCUGGAAAUGCACCAACGCAGUCACACUGGGGAGAAACCGUUCAUUUGCUCUGAUUGUGGGCUGGGAUUCACUCAGUCAAGCAACCUGCUGAAACACCGAGUUCACAGUGGGGAGAGACUGUUCACAUGUUCCGAGUAUGGGAAGGGAUUUGCUCGCUCACUCAACCAACCUGCUGAGACACCAGCGAGUUCACUCUGGGGACAGACCAUUCACUUGUUCUAUGUGUGGAAAGGGAUUCACUCAAUCAUCCCAACUGUUAACACACCAGCAAGUUCACCACAACCACAUUUGAAGGAUUUUGCCCUUAAAUCAAGGAAUGAACUUUGAUCUUUGGGCUGUUUGUACUGGUGUCAUUAGUCCCUGCUCAAAACUUGAUCUUCUCUUGGGAAAUAAGGUAGGGCAGGUGACUGAGGGGUCAGCAGGGGCGAGAAUAUUUUGGGGCCUAUGAUUGUAUCUCUAUUAGUUUUAAAAUAAUUAUGGAAAAGGAUAGACUUUGGUCUAAGAGUCAAAGUUUUAAAUGAGACUAAGGCCAAUUUUGACACUACUAUGCUCCUUAAAAGCACAGUAAGACCGCCUAUGUGUGGGAAUGCACGAGUUGGGUGAGAUACAAAAAAGUAUUUUACAUCAGUAUUUACUGUGAUCAAGGAUACAAAAGCUAAAGAACUUAGAGAAAUGAAUGUGUAUCUUGAAAAGUUCCAUGUUGUGGAGGAGGUGGUGCUGGAUGCCUUACAGACCAUAAAGGUGGAUAAAUCCCCAGGACCUCUUCAGGUGUAUUCUCGAACUUUGCGGGAAGCUAGGCUUGCAAUUGGGCCCCUUGCUCAGAUAUUUGCACCAUUGACAGUCAUAGGUGAGCUGUUACACUGGAGGUUGGCUAAUCUGGUGCCAUUGUUUAAGAAAGGUGGUAACAGAAAACCAGGGAACAAUAAACUUUUGGUGAGCCUGACGUCAGCUGUGGGUAAGUUGUUGGAGGGAAUUCUGAGGGAUAGGAUUUACAUAUAUUUGGAAAGCGUGGACUGAAUGGGGAAUAGUCGACAUGGCUUUGUCCAUAGGAAAUUAUGUCUUACUAACUUGAUUGAGUUUUUUUGAAGAAGUUAGAAACAAGAUUGAUGGCAGAGCGGUGGAUGUUUUCGAUAUUCCGCAUGGUCGACUGAUUAACAAGGUUAGAUCACAUGGAAUCCAGGGAGAGCUGGCCAUUUGGAAAGGCGUUUGACCUGCAGUAUGCUGCAAGGAUUGGUACUUAGUAGCUAUAACUCGUACAUUCACAUCCAAAUCAUCUUUAUAAAUGACAAAAUGGAGUGGACCCAGCUCUGAUCCUUGCAGCACACCACUGGUCACAGGCCUCCAGUCUACAAAGCAACCCUCCACCAGCACUCCGUCUUCUACCUUCAAGUCAGAUCUGUUUCCAAAUGACUGGUUCUCUCUGUAUUCCAUGUGAUCUGACCUUGCUCAUCAGUCUACCAUGAGGAACCUUGUCAAACGCCUUAGUGACAUCCAUAUAGAAUACAUCCACCU